rnacentral:rRNA from 1 species
AUUGAACGCUGGCGGCAGGCCUAACACAUGCAAGUCGAACGCGUGGGGGACGGGUGAGUAAUGUCUGGGAAACUGCCUGAUGGAGGGGGAUCACUACUGGACACGGUAGCUUAUACCAUAUUCUCUCAGAUGUGCCCAGAGGGGAUUAGCUUGUUGGUGGGGUAAAGGCUCACCAAGGCGACGAUCCCUAGCUGGUCUGAGAGGAUGACCAGCCACACUGGAACUGAGACACGGCCCAGACUCCUACGGGAGGCAGCAGUGGGGAAUAUUGCACAAUGGGCGCAAGCCUGAUGCAGCCAUGCCGCGUGUAUGAAGAAGGCCUUCGGGUUGUAAAGUACUUUCAGCGGGGAGGCGUUACCCGCAGAAGAAGCACCGGCUAACUCCGUGCCAGCAGCCGCGGUAAUAC